GACGUAGGGCGCGAGCGUUUGUCCGGAUUUAUUGGGCGUAAAGAGCUCGUAGGCGGCUUGUCGCGUCGAAUGUGAAAUCUCAGGGCUCAACUCUGACAUUGCAUUCGAUACGGGCAGGCUAGAGUUCGGUAGGGGAGACUGGAAUUCCUGGUGUAGCGGUGAAAUGCGCAGAUAUCUGGAGGAACACCGGUGGCGAAGGCGGCAUCCUGGACCAACACUGACACUGAGGAGCGAAAGCCAGGGGAGCAAACGGGG
rnacentral:rRNA from 1 species